AAAAGGCCUCACACUUGAAGAUUUGUGGUGCAUUAUCUCAGUCAGCUUGAAGGUGGUUGAAAUUUGUUAUUGAUGACAGACUGAUGGCUUCUGGAAGCUUAGAGAAGUAGGCACAGUAAGUAGAUUAACUUGGUGAGUGCUUUGGUCAUUGGUCUGUGAGGAGGAGGAGGAAGAAAACAUGAAUUACUUUGAGUUAGGAGAAGGAGUUCUGCAAUUUCUAAAUGGAAAUGAAGGUUUUCAAGAGCAAAGAGAAAAAGCUGUGAAUUAUAAGACUUGCUUCCACUCCAGUUAUCUGGGGUUUGAGAUGACUGAUGAGGCAAUCUACGGCAGACUUUCUGGGGCACGUGAGUGUCUUCCAUCAGAAAUGAUGUACAUUGCAUUUGCGUGCUCCAACACAUGGAUAUUACAUUCUCAACACCAUCCCAAUAGAAAAUCAAGAAACCUCAGAUGUUGAAAUGUCUGAAAUACAAUAGGAAAAGCUGGAAAUAAUUGGCAGUAUAUGUGGAAGCAUAUAUAUGUAUAUGUGUGCUGAAACCAUACAUCUGAUCUCUGUUUAUAACAUCCCAAGCAAUCCUUUUCACUUAGAAGAGUCAUAGGCAAAAAAUUUGCGGGAACAUUACACUUUUUCAAAAAGUCUUUGGGGAUAUUAUCUUCUUGUGUCCACUUGGUAAUUUGUUGCAAUCAGAAAGCUUAGAAUAGAAUGUUUAUUUCUGGAGUUUUAGCCAUUCAAAAAAUGUGCCCUUCUCAGAAGAGAUGAUUAAGUGUGAUUGGUUCCUCAGGAUGUUAGCUUGGGGGCAAUUCUGUUUCUUUUUUAAUCCUGCCAGCAUAUCUGAAGGAUAUUGCAGGUACAGAAUUGGUGUUAUUUCUCUGGUUCUUUGCAGUGCCUGCUAUAAAUAGUUCAUAAUCUCAGAAGCACGCAUGAAGGCAGGAAUUUUUACUGGCCAGUAGAUAAUGUGUUGUGUGCUCAACUUAAAAUCUGGAACUUCAAAUCCCCUUUCACUCAGAUAGCUGGUGCACUGAAGAUAAUGGUGAAUUUUAUUAGAUGCUUACCUUCAUUGGAUAAUGAAAUCGUAUCUACCGUUAGAUGAUAGAUCGAGAUACGAGUCGUAGUCCAAUUUUCCAGCAACUCCUGGUGGAUAAUUUAUUGGAUAAUAUGUUGUAAGUUUGGGGGCAUUUUAGCCAAAGACGUUUAAUGUGUGAUGUUGAGUGUAGGGCCUAUUUUUUCCAUACAAUGAACAAGUUAGCAAAGUUGCCUCAUUUGAACACAUGCAAUAGAGGUUAACUGCAGUUGUGAUCUUUCUUCUGGAGUGGAAUGAAGUAAUGUGGUGGAAAAGUUGGAAAAGGCAUGUAGCUUCAUUAGCGUUGUUCCUUCUUGUUUUUCAUGGAGAUGGUGUGAGGUGCAGAUCACAUCCACAAUGCUUCAAGAUGGUCAGAAAGCAUUUUGGAAUCAACUUGUCUUCUGGGAGAUGAUUCUCAGGGAGGUACUGUAGUCACCACUAUCAAAUUUAUCUCAUUUUUUUGUAAUAAUUGUUGUAUCUCUAAGGAUCCUUCACACAGCCUCCUUUUACCGGAUGUGAGACUGGGGCUGAAUUGUGGCUGCAGUAGACGGAAAGCAUUAGUGCAAGGCAUCCAGUUGCCAACUAUUUGAAAGGCAAACUACUUCUUUCAUCCCUCCCUAUUAAUCCCUUACUGGCAUACAUUCCUGCAAAGGACAAAGAUACUACACCAGCCCAUUCACCUCCUCCUUCACCUCCAUUCAAGGUCCCAAACAGUCCUUCCAAGUGAGGCAACACUUCACCUGCAAACCUGUUGGAGUCACCUACUGUAUCCAGUUGUCCCAAUGCAGCCUACCCUGCAUUGCUGAGACCUGAAGCAAAUUGGGGUCUGCUUUGUCGAGCACCCCUGCUCCUUCCGCAGAAAGUAGAAUGUUGCGAAGACUAACAAUUUUAAUUCCAGUCCUCAUUCCUGCUCAAACAUGUCACUUCAUGUCCUUCUCUUUUGCCACAAUGAGGCUACUCUCAGGUUGGAGGAGCAACAAUCAACUUCUCCUACUGGUAGUUUUUUUUUCCCUUUACCCCUUUCCCUCUUCUUCUAUUUCCUCCUCUGGCCUCUUUCUUUCUCUUGUCACCUGCCUAUCAGCACAUCCUUCAAUUAUCCCAUGUUCUACUCUCCUCUCCUAUCAGACUCCUUCUUUACCAGUGCUUUACAUUUUCCACAUCACCUCCCACCUUCUUACUUCAUCCCCUCUCUCUCCCAUCCACCUGGUUCACCAAUCACCUUCUAUCUUGUCCCUCUUCCCCUCUCUCCACCUUUUUAUUCUGGAACCUUCCCUUUCCUUUCCAGUCCUGAUGAAGGGCCUCAGCCCAAAACAUUGACAGUUUAUUCAUUUCCAUUGAUGCUGCCUGACCUGCUGAGUGAUUCCAGAAUUUUGUGUGUGUUGUUUGAAAGGAUUUUUAAAACAAAUGUCCAAACAGCUGGAAAGCACCUUGUUAAAUAUUCCUGUUGAACCACUUUUCAAUAGAUAUGAACAUCAGACAAGAGAGAUUCAAAAGAAAUUAUGAAUAUACCGAACAUCAAUCUUCUUGCAGCUCAGCAUUGGCAAACCUGUAUGACUUUUUGACUGAGACCAAAUGUAAUGUUUCCUUGAAUUACUUCAUGAGUUUAACCCUUCUGCUUUACAUUCUAAUCAUUGCAAAGAGGCCUUGUGGUACUGAAAGAAACAAUAUAAUAAUCCAAAUAGUAACAAUAGCAACUUUGCUUUGUACCACAACUUUAACCUAGUAAAAUAUCCCAAUAUUGCAUCUUGUUGGAUCAAAAAGAUGAUGCCAAGGCACAUCAGGAGGCAAUAAGGAAGAGUCCAGUUUCUUGCUCAGAGAGCCAAUUAUUUACAAGUAUUUUGCCGGAAGAAGAUGAAGUAGAUGUGGUGAGGUUCAGGAGGGAAUUACAGAGCUUGGUACUUGGCAGAUGAAGACUACAACUGGGAAAGGAGAAGCUAGACCCCAGUGUUAAAGGAGUGAAGAUUAUUUGAGGUGAAGAGGAGCUGCAGAACUGGAGUUAGAGAUCAGGAGGGGUGACACCAUAAAAUAGAGAAAUCAAAGAUGAGAAUUAAAAACAAACAGCAUUACUUAACUAGAACCAAUAUAGGGCUGCUGGAUGAACAUGACUUGGUGUGAAUAUGACCUUGAGUACAGAAGAACAUGAACUAAUAAUAACUAAUGAUAAAUGAUAAUAUGGGGUUGUAAUUUCAUAUGGUUUGUAGCAGCCCUAAUUUCUGGA